rnacentral:rRNA from 1 species
AACAAACGCUGGCGGCGUGCCUAAUACAUGCAAGUCGAACGGGGAAAGCUUUCGGGUGAGUACUGUGGCGCACGGGUGAGGAACGCGUGGAUAAUCUGCCUUAGAGUGGGGGAUAACUAGUCGAAAGAUUAGCUAAUACCGCAUAAGACCACAGGAGCUGCGGCUCUAGGGGUCAAAGGUUUUUCGCUCUAAGAUGAGUCCGCGUAAGAUUAGCUAGUUGGUGAGGUAACGGCUCACCAAGGCGACGAUCUUUAACUGGUCUGAGAGGAUGAUCAGUCACACUGGAACUGAGACACGGUCCAGACUCCUACGGGAGACAGCAGUAGGGAAUAUUGCACAAUGGAGGAAACUCUGAUGCAGCGACGCCGCGUGAGUGGUGAAGGCCUUCGGGUCGUAAAGCUCUGUCGCAAGGGAAUAACACAAUGAAUGUACCCUGUAAGAAAGGAUCGGCUAACUUCGUGCCAGCAGCCGCGGUAACAC